GACGGUAGCGCGGGACAAUACUGUAUAUAUGCUUUUACUCUUUUUUUAAGAAACCAAGGCAAUAACUCAAAACUGGUGAGAACCUGGAGGCCAGAACUGAUGCAGAGGCUGUUUACUGACUUGUUCUUCAUGGCUUGCUCAACCUGCUUUCUUAUAAAACCCAGAACCACAGAAACUGAACAUGAACCAGUGUAAAAUGAAGCUCAUGUUUUAUCCUGGGAAUGCAGAGCCUGGGCAAUGAAGUCACAACAAUUUCAUGUGUGUGAGAAGAAGAGGAAGAAGAAAAGGAAUACCAGAAGUUUGUGGGAGCCAUAAUAAUUAAAGAUGAAUUUCACUUGAAGAGUCUUUUAGAAAAGUCUCAUUAUAUGAAUCAAUCAAAGAUACUGAAUAAAAAUGGUGAUGUUUCUCUUUCAGAAUUUGCAAAACUAUUCCAAAUGUAAAUUUUUGUUUAAGUCAAAUAUUACAU